rnacentral:rRNA from 1 species
GAUGAACGCUGGCGGCGUGCCUAAUACAUGCAAGUCGAGCGAACAGACGAGGAGCUUGCUCCUCUGACGUUAGCGGCGGACGGGUGAGUAACACGUGGAUAACCUACCUAUAAGACUGGGAUAACUUCGGGAAACCGGAGCUAAUACCGGAUAAUAUAUUGAACCGCAUGGUUCAAUAGUGAAAGACGGUUUUGCUGUCACUUAUAGAUGGAUCCGCGCCGCAUUAGCUAGUUGGUAAGGUAACGGCUUACCAAGGCAACGAUGCGUAGCCGACCUGAGAGGGUGGUCGGCCACACUGGAACUGAGACACGGUCCAGACUCCUACGGGAGGCAGCAGUAGGGAAUCUUCCGCAAUGGGCGAAAGCCUGACGGAGCAACGCCGCGUGAGUGAUGAAGGUCUUCGGAUCGUAAAACUCUGUUAUUAGGGAAGAACAAAUGUGUAAGUAACUAUGCACGUCUUGACGGUACCUAAUCAGAAAGCCCCGGCUAACUACGUG